GACGAACGUUGGCGGCGUGCUUAACACAUGCAAGUCGAGCGGAAAGGCCCUUCGGGGUACUCGAGCGGCGAACGGGUGAGUAACACGUGGGUAACCUGCCCCAGACUUUGGGAUAACCCUCGGAAACGGGGGCUAAUACCGGAUACGACACAGCUUCGCAUGGGGUCUGUGUGGAAAGUUUUUCGGUUUGGGAUGGGCUCGCGGCCUAUCAGCUUGUUGGUGGGGUGAUGGCCUACCAAGGCGACGACGGGUAGCCGGCCUGAGAGGGCGACCGGCCACACUGGGACUGAGACACGGCCCAGACUCCUACGGGAGGCAGCAGUGGGGAAUAUUGCACAAUGGGCGGAAGCCUGAUGCAGCGACGCCGCGUGAGGGAUGACGGCCUUCGGGUUGUAAACCUCUUUCAGCAGGGACGAAGCGUAAGUGACGGUACCUGCAGAAGAAGCGCCGGCCAACUACGUG
rnacentral:rRNA from 1 species